rnacentral:rRNA from 1 species
GACGAACGCUGGCGGCGUGCUUAACACAUGCAAGUCGAACGGAAAGGCCCUACUUUUCUUGGGUGCUCGAGUGGCGAACGGGUGAGUAACACGUGGGUGAUCUGCCCUUCACUUCGGGAUAACCCUAGGAAACUGGGUCUAAUACCGGAUAGGAGCUCCUGUUGCAUGUUGGGGUGUGGAGAGUUUUCGGUGUUGGGUAAGCUCUCGCCGGCUCUCAGUUUUUUGGUGGGGUUGUGGCCUACCAACGGUUUGGCGGGUAGCCGGGCUGAGAGGGUGGACCGGCCACUUGGGGACGAGAUAAGGCCCAGGACCCUACGGGAGGGAGGAGUGGGGAAUAUUGGCAAAUGGGGCGGAGGCUGAUGCAGGGAAGGCGGGUGGGGGAUGACGGGCCUCCGGUUGUUAAACCGUUUCGCCAGGGACGAAGCGGUGUGUGACGGUAAUUGGUAAAGAAGCACCGGCUAACUACGUG